rnacentral:piRNA from 1 species
GGCACCUGGUGCUGACUACAAGAGAUGA